rnacentral:rRNA from 1 species
GUGGGGAAUAUUGGACAAUGGGCGAAAGCCUGAUCCAGCCAUGCCGCGUGUGUGAAGAAGGUCUUCGGAUUGUAAAGCACUUUUAGUUGGGAGGAAGGGCAGUAAGUUAAUACCUUGCUGUUUUGACGUUACCGACAGAAUAAGCACCGGCUAACUUCGUGCCAGCAGCCGCGGUAAUACGAAGGGUGCAAGCGUUAAUCGGAAUUACUGGGCGUAAAGCGCGCGUAGGUGGUUUUGUAAGUUGGAGGUGAAAUCCCCGGGCUCAACCUGGGAACUGCCUCCAAAACUGCAUGACUAGAGUACGGUAGAGGGUAGUGGAAUUUCCUGUGUAGCGGUGAAAUGCGUAGAUAUAGGAAGGAACACCAGUGGCGAAGGCGACUACCUGGACUGAUACUGACACUGAGGUGCGAAAGCGUGGGAAGCAAACAGGAUUAGAAACCCGAGUAGUCC